GGACAAGUAAAGAGUGUUUUAUGCUUUUUUUUUCUUUUAGUUUGUAUGUUUUUCCUUGUAAGAAUACUUACUUGAAGUCUCUCCUUGAGUUUGUGACAGGUGCUGCUCUUUGCUCUGCCUUUGGUCAAAGACUAAGAAGGAAAAGGUGCUGAAAAUCAAGGAAAUCUAGACAGUAAACACAAAUUUAAAAAGGUCAGCUAUGAUAACAUGGGGAAAAAAAAUCAAGAUCCUGUCGAGACGUUUUGUGCAUUCAGUUUCAACGGGGUAGAUGACUGAGCUGCUGUUUUCACACAUUUUAUCACCAGGAGAGCUGGAAACCCUCAAGUACAGGGCAGAGUGAUGAUCUCAGCUUGGUCAGAAGCGACAAUUUGUGUGCUCCUCACUUUAGAGCUGCAGAGAAUUUGGGACUGCAGAACAUCCCCUCCUCGCUUAUCUGUGAAUGACAGCCCUGCCUGCAGCAUGAACAGAAACGAAGGAAGCGAAGGAGGCUGCCUUGCUCCUCGGGCCGUCAGCAGGCAGGCUGGAGAGGGCCGCCGGGGUGCAGCAGCUCAGAUGAACGAUGCUAAAGAGCUUUGAUGUCCGAGGAGGAUUUGUGAUUCUUGUGUAAGAGCCAGACUGACGUCAGAGGACCUGAAUCAAACCGUGCAGAGUAAUCAAAGAGCUGCUGCUGCAUCAUUAUUCUUACAUAAAACUGUUUUUUUAAGCUUCGCUCACAAUAAAAUUUGAUUUUUGCCUCAACUAAAACAAUGAGCAUGAAAAGCAGGAAAAAUUGAGUUUGUGCAACAUUUAAAAACAGAGAGUCAAAGCUACUCAGCAAUUUAGUUGAUAAUCUUAAUCAUCUCCGGAGACCCUCAGAACAUUUUAUAAUUUUAAUAUAAUUUAUGUAUAUAUGGCAACCUUUGUUGUAAAUCAACAUUCUUCAUAUCAGAGUUAGAGCAGCCUCCAGACCUCCGGGUUGCUUCGGAAACCUCCAGGUCUGCAGAGGCAUCAUGAGAAAAUCUAGAGGGUUCUCUCGCCUGAGACGGCAGGUCUGUACCUGUCGACAGAGAGCCCCGGUGUGGCUCCGAGCAUGCUCAGAUGCAGCCGCCGUUAUGUAACCCUCAUAGAACAAACCUAUGUUUUUAAUUUGGGAAUUGGAACUCUUCUUUGAGCUGCCGUAACUUUAAUAACAUUUUUUGUUUCGGCAAAUAACAGUAUCACAUCUUUUAAGGGCGUCUCACUGACAGAAGUGGAAAAAUAAACUCAAUAUUAAAUCUG